ensembl:snoRNA SNORD82 Small nucleolar RNA SNORD82
AGCACAGAUGAUGAGUACUGGGACUUAAUGCUGAGCUCGUGAUGUCUCCAGUAUGAGCUGAUGUGC